rnacentral:rRNA from 1 species
AUUGAACGCUGGCGGCAGGCCUAACACAUGCAAGUCGAACGAGUGGCGGACGGGUGAGUAAUGUCUGGGAACCUGCCCGAUGGAGGGGGAUAACUACUGGAAACGGUAGCUAAUACCGCAUACCAUCGGAUGUGCCCAGAUGGGAUUAGCUAGUAGGUGGGGUAACGGCUCACCAAGGCGACGAUCCCUAGCUGGUUUGAGAGGAUGACCAGCCACACUGGGACUGAGACACGGCCCAGAUUCCUACGGGAGGCAGCAGUGGGGAAUUUUGGACAAUGGGGGAAACCCUGAUCCAGCCAUGCCGCGUGUAUGAUGAAGGCCUUCGGGUUGUAAAGUACUUUCGGCAGGGAGGCGUUAUCUGCAGAAUAAGCACCGGCUAACUCCGUGCCAGCAGCCGCGGUAAUUC